rnacentral:lncRNA from 1 species
AGUACAUUUUCUGCUAUGAUGCUGCAAACAGGCACCAGGAUGAGUCAGACCCAUUUAAGAUUGUUGAGCCUCACAGGUUUAGCGAUUUAAUUACGUGUUUUGUGGGAUUUGCAAGCUGCGUGCAAUCUCCCCGCGUGCCUCAGGUCCACAAGUGGCAGUGGCCCUUGUCUCUCUCUGGUUUUGUUUGGUGGUACAUCAGGCCAGUCUCUGGAAGCCCGGAAUUGAGGAUGCAAGCAUGUUCAUGCGCGUGGUGUAGGAUCGACGGGGAAGGAAAUCGCUGGAGACCUUCCGCUCCCUCCUCCACCUGGGGCUGGGCCGUGAAAACGGACGCGUCUGUCAGCAGUGAGGUGCUAAGAGGCACAUGGCGCUACAUAGAAAGAAUGCCCUGAGGUGAAGGUGACAGCUCGGCAGUUUCUUAAUACCCUGAACUUGAGCGUGGCCUGCGCUAGAGAAAAUACACGGUGCUUCUUAAAAACAAAAGCCAGCAGCCUGCAAGAGGGCUGUGCCUGCGAGUUCCUGGGAGCAGGAGGGGGCUGUUCCUCCGCCCCUGGCUCCAGUUUCACCCAAGUCACUUCACAGCAGUUGGAAGGAGGUCACCAAUUGUUGAGUGUAGGCGGGGGGCGGGGAGGGAGAGGAAGAGGGAUGAAAAGGGAAGGCCCGGGUCAGCUGGGAGAGGAGCUCGCGGGCUUUCCGGCGGGCUGGCCUGAAGUGGAAGGGCCCAGGGCUGCCUGCCACCCUCAGAUGCCACGCAGGUGUUGGGAGGGCACCCGUCUGUGGGCUCAGGGACGUGUUCCCACCGACAGGCACAGAACGGAAAGCACCUUGGGGGAGACGCCCUUCUCCCCAUCUCAGGAGGGAGGCCGGGCCUGCAGACCUCCAGCCCUUCCCCAGCGCUCGCUGUGAGCUCCCCCCCCCCACCCGCCCCCCACGUGCUGGGGAGCAGGUCCGUUUCCCCACCAGUUUGCCUCUGGUCUUUGUGUUUGCUCUGAGGCCAGGCGCGCCCCCUGCUGCAGGCCUGGGCUCCUGUGUGGAGUUCUCCUUUCAGAUGUUGCUAAAAUGUCUUGAAAGGCUGCGGCCACACCAACAGACGUCGUCCGGCCUUCUUCACACGCAACGAAGCGCCCAGGUGGAAAUGCAUGUACCCGCGGCAGCUUCUCGGCAGCGGGCUUCCUGGGACGGAAGACACAGGCUCGCCCGAGGGAGACGGAAGCAGGGGAUCUGCUAGAACUCAGCUCGCCUCCUCCUUUCUCAGCAGGGCAGAGAAUCAUGGGCUUGUGCUGACGAAAGCUCCAGAAAAUGGACUCAUUUAACCUUUCCAAAGAUAUUAUCCAAGCUGCAAAAUCUUGGCAAUCUGAAGACCUUUUAAGUCGAUAUACCAAAGAGCUUUAGUCAGGAUUGAAUGCAAAAUGCCAAAAUUUCACUUUUAAAAUCAUCGUAACAUCUAAAUACAACCUAAGCACACUUGUAAACUGAUGCCGAACAGGCACUUGGAGAGCCCUCCCUGCACCCCUUCCUCGCCCCCUCCUUUGUGCAAAUGCUGUUUGCCCAGAACUUCAGCCACUGAAAAUCCUGGGAACUUUCUCUUCCUGGCUGCCAACCUAGCAGUUUGGACUCACAGACGAGAUUUUUAAAUCACUGAGGGAUUUAAGCCUCUCUGUGUCACAGAAAAGCGAACACCCUCCCAGUUGAAGGUGGCCCCAAAGAUGCGGGCCUGGGACCCAGGACUUCUGCAGGAGAGUGGACGCCUGGGUGCCCCCCGCCUUGCCCUGCACAUGGAUAACAGAGUACACCAGUCAUCAUAAGAAGAAAAAUUCACAUUUAAAGUUUGGAAAGCAACAGGACAAAGGUCUGUCUUCAGUGGUGCGUAGACAUGCUCGUGAUUGAAUUGGAAAUAGUUCUCUUUCCUUCUCUCUGACUUCCUAACUGAAAAGCUGCAGCGUGGGGAGAAAGGCUGCUCAGAAGCCUGGAGCCAGAACACGCACCCCGGCUUUUGCAGGGCCGGCUCACUUGGUUAGAAUCAAAGGAAAAGCCUUGUUAUUUGGGAAGCUGGGCGUCCUCACCAAAUUAGGGGAUUUAAUUUGCAGAUAUCUAAGGAGUGCUUUGAAAUGAAAGAUGAACUAAAAUCUGCUCUGAGGCCCGUGAUUUUUCACCAGUGAAGGACUCUCUUGCUGCUGGACAUACAUGAAAAGCAUCAUCUGAUCUGAAACGCAAGUCCCUGCAAGACAGAGGAGAGACUUUAUAAACAUUUUAUACCAUUCUAUGAAAUCAAUUCGAUUCAGGGCUAGAAUUCAAGAAGUAAUCCAUGGGCAAGUAUAUCUGAUGGUAAACCCAAACGAUUAUAUUGUUAACCUCUUGUACUUUUUUUAAUUUUUUAUUAUUUGAUAUUAUUAUCACAAAAGUCGCUGGAACAGGAUCCAUGAGCUGCUUCUUCACUGCUUAGUGUUUUCAGAAGCUGAUGGAUUAUUAAGCUCCAAUUGAAUACUUGAUUUCCAAUGAUUCCAUUAAUUUUUCUGGUUUGUGGUAGGAUUUGAUUUACUUAUUUUGUACUUUAACACACCAAUAAAAAAUAGAUACUAAGAAAUAGUGAAAUUUGUUGCUUCAAAAUAACCCUUAAAAUUUAGAGUUUAGUGAAAUUAAGCAAUUCAAAUAGAGAAACGAUUAUCCUUCAUUUCCUUAAGGCACAGAAAUUGAGACUAGGUUCAAGAACCUUCAUAUUUUAAAAACUGGAAAAUACUGGCUAAGUGAGGACUGGGCGGUCAUCCUCCACACAUGCUCUGUGUGCUUGGAGCGAAGAGGGGAACGCACUGAAUGAGAUGAACUGGAAGGAGGUGCAGCAGCGAAGGAAAUCCUUCUGUUGGGAGAGUUCACGUGUUUAGGAUAAUCCUUCGAAUAGGACGCAACAGUGAUGUGAGGAGAAGCUUUGGAGCUGAUUUAGAUUGAGACAGUCUAUCACAGGCUGUUUGGUUGCAUCCCUUUGGGGCCAGUCUCAUUUUAGGUCUAAAUAUGCAGGAAUGGGGCUCUGGCUUCCAGAAGUUUCAGGCUGCAAAAGGCUGGGGCCACCAUCUUUACAGAUAAUCCAUUAGUUUGAUUCUCUUGGGGGCCAGGAAGAAAACCAAGAACACUCAAUGGACUAUGGGACUCAAAUAAUCCACAGGAGGCGUUUGUAAAGGGGCAAAACUGUGUGUGCCCAGUAAUUCUUGGAGCUCGCAAUAGAGGUGGAGAAGCAGUGAUGGGCCCCACAGCAGCAGGGGCUUGGGAAUGACGGAAAAGAACAAAAUGAUGGAAGGACAGCUGGAAGAAACAGGGAAGCUUCCUUUUAACUGGAUGCUGGGUCUCAGCCUUGAAUAGUUCCUGGCCUUCGGAGGCCUUUUCUCAGGGAGCAUGGCCUGGGGACUCCCUGCUUGCUCUGCUGAGCUUUCAGGGAAGGAGAAAUGGGCAAGGCCAGAGGCGACCAUCAGGUGCUCCGUAGGCACAGAGGCAGAACUCAAGGUUUAGCUUUACCUUAAGAGGGUGACUGCAAAGUGUGCUCCCUGGACCAGGGGCCUCGGCCUCACCUGGGAGCUUGCUAAAAAUGCAAGUUGCUCUCACCCAGACUGAAUCUAAAAUUCUGGGUACAGCCCAGCAAUCUCUGCUCACACUUUCUCCAGAUGAUUCUGGUGCAAGCUAACCUUUCAAAAGUCCUGGGUCCCAUUCCCAGAGGCUGUGAUUAAGUUGGUCUAGGGCUGUGGCCUAGACCUGGGGAUUUUGGAAGCCCACAGGUGAUUCUGUUGUGCAGCCAUGGUUGGCAGGCUGUUCACGGUGCUGUUCAACAGGUCCUGCUGUGGGAUGGAAAGGGUCUGUAUCUGCACUGGCCAAUGUGGGAGCCAGCCCUGUGGCUAUUGAGCACUUGGCCCCUGGCUAGUGCAACUGAGGAGCUGAAUUUUUCAUUUCAUUUACUUUUAAUUAAGUUUAAAUAGCUAAAUGUGGCUAUUGUCUGCCUUAUUGGAUAGCAGAGUUCUAGAACCACAGAUAAAUGUAAUACUGUCCCUUUAGUUGAUUUAAAAAUCCAAUGCCUCUGUAAUCCUAGCACUUUGGGAGGCCAAGGUGGGCUGAUCACGAGGUCAAGAGAUCGAGACCAUUCUUGCCAACAUGGUGAAACCCCGUCUCUACUAAAAAUACAAAAAUUAGCCGGGCAUGGUGGCAGGCACCUGUAAUCCCAGCUACUCGGGAGGCUGAGGCAGGAGAAUCACUUGAACCCACGAGGCGGAGCUUGCAGUGAGCCAAGAUUGCACCACUGCACUCCAGCCUGGUGACAGACGGAGAUUCUGUCUCAAAAAAAAAUGCCUCACAGAGUUAAAUAUUUAAGUUGAUAAGAAAAAUGGUAGUCGAGUCUUUGAGGAUUAUUUUAAAAUCCACUUUUGGUGAUAAAUAGAUAAAAACAGUGUGGUAGGGCCCAGAAGUUCUUCCUGAUUUCUACCUGUUGGAGCUGAAUUCCUCAAUUUUACUUGUAGGAGAACGGCUUCCUAAAGGGCACCUUACCCAGCCAUUCCUGCAUGCAAGUGUGUAUGAGAACUGCAGGGGGCAUUAUAUGAAAAUCCAAUUCCUGGGCUCUAUCCCAGAUGUUCCUAUCCAAUAGGUCUGGGUUGGGGCCCUGGAAACUGCAUUUUUGGCAAACCCCUUACUGAUUUGGAUGCACAAGUUUCAAGGAACAGGCACUAAGGAUCGCUGAUGUAGAAUCUGUUUGUCCAUCCAGGAAAGCCAGAGUCACCACACUUGAGUAAAUGGGUUUUGAUGUAGGAAAGGUCUUUAUAAUUCUUUCAUGAAUUCACCAAACUUUAAAAACUGUACUAUUUUUGGCUGGGCUUGGUGGCUCACGCCUGUAAUCUCAGCACUUUGGGGGCCAAGGCGGGUGGAUCAUGAGGUCAGGAGAUCGAGACCAUCCUGGCUAACACGGUGAAAACCUGUCUCUACGA